CCUUAAAAGGCAUCCCUGUCCUCUCCUUGUCUUAAAAGCAGUGGGAAAGGCUGCACAGAAUGUGAAGCUUAGGAGUUUUGUAGUAAAGGAUAGUUUUUGAAGGUAAUUUUUGUACAUUCUCAUCUGAUCCUUAAAACAAGCCUGUAAAAAAGGUAGACUGUGCUUUGCUGCAGAACUUUGCUUUGAAAACAGGAGUGGCUGCCAGUUCACAGUUGCUUCCAGGGGCACACACUCCCUCCCUCCUUCCUCUAUUUCUCUUCUUGCCUUCUGUGUCCCAAUUCUAGUCCUAGCAGAUGGAUUACUCUGUCCACUUAACACACCUGCUAAGUCUUGCUUGAAUUACUCUAACAUAUGAAUGUUCCUUGGACUCUUGGUUAAUUCAAGUCCAAAGCACAGGACACUUGCCAAUUAA
rnacentral:lncRNA from 1 species